rnacentral:rRNA from 1 species
AGUGAACGCUGGCGGUAGGCCUAACACAUGCAAGUCGAACGGCAGCACAGUAAGAGCUUGCUCUUACGGGUGGCGAGUGGCGGACGGGUGAGGAAUACAUCGGAAUCUACUUUUUCGUGGGGGAUAACGUAGGGAAACUUACGCUAAUACCGCAUACGACCUACGGGUGAAAGCAGGGGAUCUUCGGACCUUGCGCGAUUGAAUGAGCCGAUGUCGGAUUAGCUAGUUGGCGGGGUAAAGGCCCACCAAGGCGACGAUCCGUAGCUGGUCUGAGAGGAUGAUCAGCCACACUGGAACUGAGACACGGUCCAGACUCCUACGGGAGGCAGCAGUGGGGAAUAUUGGACAAUGGGCACAAGCCUGAUCCAGCCAUACCGCGUGGGUGAGGAAGGCCUUCGGGUUGUAAAGCCCUUUUGUUGGGAAAGAAAAGCAGCAGGUUAAUACCCCGCUGUUCUGACGGUACCCAAAGAAUAAGCACCGGCUAACUUCGUG